rnacentral:sRNA from 1 species
GAGGGAGGGCUAAGGCGCCUGGGCGCUCAGCGAGCCGGCUGAGGGGGCUGUGGCGGCCGCGGCGGGCGACAUGGACAACGCGGGGAAGGAGCGUGAGGCAGUACAGCUGAUGGCGGAGGCCGAGAAGCGAGUCAAGGCCUCCCACUCCUUCCUCCGAGGGCUGUUUGGAGGAAACACAAGAAUAGAAGAGGCUUGUGAAAUGUAUACCAGAGCUGCAAAUAUGUUCAAGAUGGCUAAAAAUUGGAGUGCUGCAGGAAAUGCAUUUUGUCAGGCAGCCAAGCUCCACAUGCAGCUUCAGAGCAAACAUGACUCCGCUACCAGCUUUGUGGAUGCUGGAAAUGCUUACAAAAAGGCAGAUCCCCAAGGGAAGGUUUACAAUUGCAGCCAAGCACCACAUUACUAUUGCAGAGAUCUAUGAGACUGAACUUGUAGACAUUGAGAAGGCUAUUGCACAUUAUGAACAAUCUGCUGAUUAUUACAAAGGAGAAGAAUCCAACAGCUCAGCAAACAAGUGUCUGCUGAAGGUGGCAGCAUAUGCUGCCCAGCUUGAGCAGUACCAGAAAGCCAUUGAGAUCUAUGAGCAGGUUGGGGCAAACACAAUGGAUAAUCCUUUGUUGAAAUACAGUGCAAAGGAUUACUUCUUCAAAGCUGCCCUCUGCCACUUCAUAGUAGACGAGUUGAAUGCCAAGCUUGCUCUUGAGAAAUAUGAGGAAAUGUUUCCAGCAUUUACUGAUUCAAGAGAAUGUAAAUUAUUGAAAAAACUCCUAGAAGCUCAUGAAGAA